GAUUAGGGUUUCCAGCACAAGUAUAUAUAUUGCAUCAUAGUAAGGUAAUUAGGCAUCAGCCUCUCUGAUGGCAUUUGGCGUUGUUGUUUUCUUUUGGUGAGGUAUAUGUUUGAAGGCCACAUGGGACGAAAAUGAAGACCAUUCUCCGGUUUUGAUUCCCAAUUUCAUUUUGAUUCUCUGAAGUUGAAUAAUAUUUUUUUAUUAUUCCCAUUAUGUAAACAAAUUUUGUUGUUGAUGGUUUGAUUUCACAAAAUUUGAUUGAUUUUGUUCAUGGUUUAUGCACUGCAUCUGUUUUACCCUCUCUAUCUGUGUCCAAUGUCGAUGGCAGUGGAGAUAUAACUGAUGCAAAGAUCCAUAAAGGUUGACUUACCAGCCCAUUGCACCGAUUUUGAAAUUUGCCAUGGGUCAAAUGGACCUACCGAAAUCCCCAAAUAUAUAAGUUUUUAAUGCAAUUGUGUUAUUUGUAUGUGUAGAGUGAAUUGGCAAGUGAUGAUUUAUUGUUAAACCGCUUAUUGAUAUACUGAAAAGCUGUGAUGACAUCAAACUCCACUUAUCUGACGCCAUUUAACUUUUAUUUUGGUUUUAUGUUUUGUUUUUGAUUGCUUCGUUCUGUAGUGAACCUUACUAUAGUGGUAAAAGGGUUGGCAAAUGAUGUUAAAAUUUCUUAUCCUACACACUGAAUUUAUACAGUGAAGAUUAAAAACUCCGCUUAUUAUCUGAUGCCUUCCAAGUCUUAACUUACUUUUUUGUCUUUUGGUUGUUCUAUCUCUGAGUGAUUGUGUGUGUUUAUUUUGGGGUUUGAAAAAAAUGUAUCUGAUUUGGCAUAAUUGUUCAACUUCUCUAUGAUGAAGAAAUGCAGACGGGCGGACUGAACUGAUGCCAUGUUGAUUGUCUGCCACUUCCAAAUUUGGAAUUUCUCUGAGAUUAUAUUUUAUGUGAUUGGUGGUGUUUUUUUUAUUAUUUUUAUUCUGGCAGGUAGUGUUUUUGUAUUUCAAACCAGGAAACUGCUUCCAAAUAUGUAUUUGAUACUUUUGCAAUGAUGCAGUUGCAUAAAAAUAUGUCUGGACAUAUGAAAAUUUCUUAUGAUAUAAUAUAAUUGCUUCUUCUGAGCAAAGGUAUCAGUCCAUGAUUUUGCAUUCUUUUACCCGUCACUUCUGUACACUGAAGUAGUUUAUGCCUUUGAUAUUUAUAUCAACAAUUGGCUAUUUGUUAUUUUAAUUUAGUGCUGCUAUAGUUUUAAUUUUACUUUAUGGAUUUUCUCCACGGACAGAAUUUUCAGGAUAUGUUUUUCCCUAACUGGCCUUGAAAUAUGUAUUUGGAAAAUUGCUAUUCGUUUUUGUCUUGUUUUUCUAUAAUGGGAUUAUGGUAUACAACAUCAAAUAAGAGCCUAUGCAUCUAGACACCACAAUCACAAGAAUAAGAAUAAGCACCGAAGACAGAACAGAGUUGGAAAAGAGCUGAGUCAUGUUCAUGUAAAAUCUAACCAGAUCAGAAGGCAAAGGAUUAAUAGUGGCAGUGUUGAUAAAGACAUAAAAAAUUAACUUGAAUGAGAAAAAUCAGAAGAUAAAAACUCAGGAAACUGAGUCCUGUAUGUCAGUGAGUGAUACCAGAGUUAAAUUCGGAGAUGGUGGGUAAUCCCAAACAUUAAGGCAAUAGUAGCUUUUGAUGACAGUGCAUCAAUUUUAAACUGCGAUGAUGGGUAGCUGAUGACGCGUUUUGGGUAACUACUCCACAUCAACCGAAGGUUGAAACUUGUAAAGUUUGCAAAUUAAUUAAUCUAGUUGUUUCAUAAUUGUAUUAUUGGUACAAGGUUUGGAAGAAUUGUGACUGACAGAUAAAUAAUUUUGAUA